UACGUAGGGGGCAAGCGUUAUCCGGAUUUACUGGGUGUAAAGGGAGCGUAGGUGGUAUGUUAAGUCAGAUGUGAAAGCCCGGGGCUCAACCCCGGGACUGCAUUUGAAACUGGCAUGCUUGAGUGCAGGAGAGGUAAGUGGAAUUCCUAGUGUAGCGGUGAAAUGCGUAGAUAUUAGGAGGAACACCAGUGGCGAAGGCGGCUUACUGGACUGUAACUGACACUGAGGCUCGAAAGCGUGGGUAGCGAACAGGAUUAGAAACCCCCGUAGUCC
rnacentral:rRNA from 1 species